UACGGAGGGGGGCUAGCGUUGUUCGGAAUUACUGGGCGUAAAGCGCACGUAGGCGGCUUUGUAAGUUAGAGGUGAAAGCCCAGGGCUUAACCCUGGAAUUGCCUUUAAGACUGCAUCGCUAGAUUGUGGAGAGGUAAGUGGAAUUCCGAGUGUAGAGGUGAAAUUCGUAGAUAUUCGGAAGAACACCAGUGGCGAAGGCGACUUACUGGACACAUAUUGACGCUGAGGUGCGAAAGCGUGGGGAGCAAACAGG
rnacentral:rRNA from 1 species